rnacentral:lncRNA from 1 species
AUGGCAUCUGGUCCAAUGGAGCACAGAGAGUUAACCCCAGUCAAAAGCGAGGCUGCCAAGCACGUAAACAAGGAGUGGAAAACUGGCGAUCCUUACCCCCCUCCCCAACUGAAAUCUCUGCCUCCCUCCUCACAAGCCAUUUCACUGAUUUGGCAUCAACUGUUUCCAAAGAAAUUACAGAUUUUAAAUUGUAAGGUGUUCUGGAUGCACAAGUGCAAUGAAAUUCCAGCCAUUUCGAUUCUACCCCCUCGUCACACCAGACGCAUCUUCCUUUAAAAAGAACAAAACCAAGAAGCUUUUACAAUCCUCUCCAGCCUAUUUCACUAAGACCGGUUGCGAACCCACAGCGCCGCGGAGGGAACGCCUGCGCCUCGGCCGGACACUAAGAGAGUUCGCUCGACCCCACUCCCAUUUUCUCUUCCUACGGAACAUCAAUGCGUGUAAACAUGACUUCAUAGCGGCUGCACUCUUCAUACGUCCUGUCCUUUUUCAGCCACAAGGCACAGCGCGAUAG